rnacentral:rRNA from 2 species
GUCCACCGCCAUACCAGCCUGAACGCACCCGAGCUCGUCGAUCUCCGAAGCUAAGCAGGGUUGGGCCUGGUUAGUACUUGGAUGGGAGAAAACUGUCUUCAUUCACA